CUUUGGACAAUGGUAGGAGAGCGUUCUAAGGGCGUUGAAGCAUGAUCGUAAGGACAUGUGGAGCGCUUAGAAGUGAGAAUGCCGGUGUGAGUAGCGAAAGACGGGUGAGAAUCCCGUCCACCGAUUGACUAAGGUUUCCAGAGGAAGGCUCGUCCGCUCUGGGUUAGUCGGGUCCUAAGCUGAGGCCGACAGGCGUAGGCGAUGGAUAACAGGUUGAUAUUCCUGUACCACCUAUAAUCGUUUUAAUCGAUGGGGGGACGCAGUAGGAUAGGCGAAGCGUGCGAUUGGAUUGCACGUCUAAGCAGUAAGGCUGAGUAUUAGGCAAAUCCGGUACUCGUUAAGGCUGAGCUGUGAUGGGGAGAAGACAUUGUGUCUUCGAGUCGUUGAUUUCACACUGCCGAGAAAAGCCUCUAGAUAGAAAAUAGGUGCCCGUACCGCAAACCGACACAGGUAGUCAAGAUGAGAAUUCUAAGGUGAGCGAGCGAACUCUCGUUAAGGAACUCGGCAAAAUGACCCCGUAACUUCGGGAGAAGGGGUGCUCUUUAGGGUUAACGCCCAGAAGAGCCGCAGUGAAUAGGCCCAAGCGACUGUUUAUCAAAAACACAGGUCUCUGCUAAACCGUAAGGUGAUGUAUAGGGGCUGACGCCUGCCCGGUGCUGGAAGGUUAAGAGGAGUGGUUAGCUUCUGCGAAGCUACGAAUCGAAGCCCCAGUAAACGGCGGCCGUAACUAUAACGGUCCUAAGGUAGCGAAAUUCCUUGUCGGGUAAGUUCCGACCCGCACGAAAGGCGUAACGAUUUGGGCACUGUCUCAACGAGAGACUCGGUGAAAUCAUAGUACCUGUGAAGAUGCAGGUUACCCGCGACAGGACGGAAAGACCCCGUGGAGCUUUACUGUAGCCUGAUAUUGAAAUUCGGCACAGCUUGUACAGGAUAGGUAGGAGCCUUUGAAACGUGAGCGCUAGCUUACGUGGAGGCGCUGGUGGGAUACUACCCUAGCUGUGUUGGCUUUCUAACCCGCACCACUUAUC
rnacentral:rRNA from 1 species